rnacentral:misc_RNA from 1 species
AUUAUUAUUAUUAUUAUUAAAAUAUUAUUAUUACACUCAUUAAUUAUUUUAUUAAUGAACAAUUAUUCCUUCCCUAAUCCUUUCUUCACAUCAAACGCACUUAACGACACGCCCAAACGGGCUGCCUAACGAUCAUUACAAUACACACUUGUUUCUCUCUUAUAGAAAAGUUUUCUACCUUUCUAAUUUAUUUUCCCUCACUUUCUCUCUUUCCAAACGCAGCUGACAGCACCCUUUUAUUUUCUUUCCUUUAUCCUCUGACACUUCUCUGCAGCUUUCUAAUCGUACUUCUCUUGUCCUUGUUUACAAGAUUUUGUCUCUUUUCUCUCGAAAGCUCUUCAGCCUUUCGAUUCUCUAUCUCCGAUCAUGCUUCAAAGCUUAGUUCCUCAAUCGCCAAUCAAUUCUAGUUCUAAACCCAACAAUUCUACUUCCUCCAUGAAGACAAAGCGCGUCGACAAAGAACUGGCGGGUGGGGACGCCUCAGGAGGCGCUGACGACCCUUCUGCCAAACGACCUAACUUCUCCACUGAGGCCACUGUCUCCGGCGACAAAACUACUGGCGAGGAAGAUUCCACGGAGUCCACUGGUCUCAGGCUCCUUGGCCUUUUGCUACAAUGCGCAGAGUGCGUUGCCAUGGACAACCUCGACGACGCGUCCGAUCUCCUUCCUGAGAUCUCCGAGCUCUCAUCUCCGUUCGGAUCGUCCCCUGAGCGCGUCGGUGCCUACUUCGCUCACGCGCUCCAUGCGCGUGUGGUAAGUUCCUGCUUGGGUACCUAUUCACCUCUCACCUCCAAAUCCCUAACCCUAACUCAGUCUCAAAAAAUCUUCAACGCGUUUCAGUCCUACAAUUCAAUCAGUCCGUUAAUCAAGUUCUCUCACUUCACUGCCAACCAAUCAAUUUUCCAAGCAUUGGACGGUGAGGAUCGUGUCCACGUCAUCGAUCUCGAUAUCAUGCAAGGCCUUCAAUGGCCAGGAUUGUUCCACAUACUUGCUUCAAGAACCAAGAAGGUCCGAUCCAUGAGAAUAACCGGGUUCGGAUCAUCCUCCGAGUUGCUCGAGUCAACAGGGAAGAGACUCGCAGAUUUCGCGAACUCACUAGGCCUGCCCUUCGAAUUCCAUCCUGUGGAGGGUAAAAUUGGAAAUGUGACAGAUGUUAGUCAACUCGGUGUUAGACCAAGGGAGGCGGUUGUGGUUCACUGGAUGCAUCACUGUCUUUACGAUAUAACUGGGAGCGAUUUAGGGACGUUGAGAUUGUUGACUUUGUUGAGGCCCAAAUUGAUCACGACCGUUGAACAAGACUUGAGCCAUGGAGGUAGUUUUUUAGGGAGGUUCGUGGAGGCUUUGCAUUAUUAUAGUGCUUUAUUUGAUGCGCUAGGGGAUGGAUUGGGUGCAGACAGCGUGGAGAGGCAUACAGUGGAGCAGCAGUUGUUUGGUUCGGAGAUUAGAAACAUUGUGGCUGUUGGUGGGCCCAAGAGGACCGGUGAGGUGAAGGUGGAGAGAUGGGGGGAUGAGUUGAGACGCGUCGGGUUUCAACCCGUUUCACUUGGCGGUAACCCGGCCGCCCAAGCUAGCCUGUUACUUGGUAUGUUCCCUUGGAAAGGAUAUACUUUGGUGGAGGAAAAUGGUUGCUUAAAAUUAGGAUGGAAAGAUUUGUCUUUGUUGACGGCCUCUGCGUGGCGGCCGUCGGAAUAAAUUACUUUUGAUCGAAUAGAUUACAAAACUGUGUUGAUUGAUGAAACCAAUGGGAUCAAUCAUUGGUGUGAUCGGAGGAGUCCAUCGACAAGUAGCUUUGAAUCAUCAUUUGGUAUUGAACUGUUGAUAAUGUUGAAAAAGUGAAGAGAAUUUCUCUCUUGUAAUAAUUUAUGAACAAAAAAAAAAUGGUAGAAAUCCCUUGGUCCAAUGAUUGUCUCAUAGACUCUUAUUUCAUUCAUUUAAAAAUUUUUCUUUUAAGUACAAUUUUAUAGAUUAGUUAUUGAAGUGAAUUCGCUUUGUUCACUUUUCAUGUACUUUGAAGUGGAAAAGUUUUCAUUUUGGGUUCAAGAAAAAAG